CUCCCAUCAAGACGAUGAAGAAGAAAGCCUCUCGACCCCUCAGGCUCCUCAGCUGCAAAGACUCUCAAGCCACUCUCAUUCAAUCUGCAUGAAACUUACCGGAAAAAGAGCCCUGUUGGUUACUUUGGACUACUACAUAAAAAGCAAUAAAAGGCUGUCAUGAGAGAACUUCUCAUCUCCUCCUGGGCUCUGAUGAAAACAUGAGACCAGUUCGCCUCACCCCCUGAGGGUACAUCUCCAUUCUCGACUGUGGCUUAGCUACAGCACAGCAUUGGCUCCUAGGCUACAGGGUGCCC